CACUAACCUAAUUGUGAUUCGGGGUGACCCUUAAAGAAAAGUUUCCGUGCCUGCUCAGUUGACUAGAUUUAGACGUACUAGUCGGCACUACCAGAGGGGGAGAUCGGACCAGACAAGGGCAACACCAAGAGCACGUGUCGCACUUAGCAACCCAGCAGAACCAAUUUUGUUGCUAUUUUACUUAUCAGCCGCUGUCUUGCGAAGAACAACAUCUGGCAUAGCCUCGGAAAACGGCGUCAAGCGGGUGAAACGCUUACUAUUUAUGCAGCACCAUCGGGACCGCAUGCACUAAGCAUAUAGUGUAACCUGCAGAGAGUAACAAAGGAGCCGACAACAGCGAUCAUAAUCGUCGUAUACAUUGGGCCCAACGUCUGCUUCGAAGGAUAUCGCGUGAGUAAGAGUUUAAACCAAUGCCUAUAGAUAUAUGUAAUUAUAUACACACAUGAACAUUUAAAUGCAGUUAAUUUAGCAAGACGGUAAAUUAAUUACUAUCCGUCAAGUCUCAAGAUAAUGUUGGUGAAUUUCUCCUUCCCCUUAAUUUCUUUAUGGGAUUUAAACUAGUUAUUGCACAUUCAUCAUAUUAACUUUGGAUUCAA